UCGUCAGCUCGUGUCGUGAGAUGUUGGGUUAAGUCCCGCAACGAGCGCAACCCUUGUUACUAGUUGCCAGCAUUGAGUUGGGCACUCUAGUGAGACUGCCGGUGACAAACCGGAGGAAGGUGGGGACGACGUCAGAUCAUCAUGCCCCUUAUGACCUGGGCUACACACGUGCUACAAUGGACGGUACAACGAGUCGCAAACUCGCGAGAGUAAGCUAAUCUCUUAAAGCCGUUCUCAGUUCGGACUGUAGGCUGCAACUCGCCUACACGAAGUCGGAAUCGCUAGUAAUCGCGGAUCAGCAUGCCGCGGUGAAUACGUUCCCGGGCCUUGUACACACCGCCCGUCACACCAUGGGAGUUUGUAACGCCCAAAGUCGGUGGCCUAACCUUUAUGGAGGGAGCCGCCUAAGGCGGGACAGAUGACUGGGGUGAAGUCGUAACAAGGUAGCCGUA
rnacentral:rRNA from 1 species